GAUAAACGCUGGCGGCGUGCUUAACACAUGCAAGUCGAACGAAGUUUUUCCUUCGGGAGAAACUUAGUGGCGGACGGGUGAGUAACGCGUGGGUAACCUGCCCUGUACAGGGGGACAACAGCUGGAAACGGCUGCUAAUACCGCAUAAGCACUUAACACUGCAUGGUGCAUAGGGAAAAGGAGCAAUCCGGUACAGGAUGGACCCGCGUCUGAUUAGCCAGUUGGCAGGGUAACGGCCUACCAAAGCGACGAUCAGUAGCCGAUCUGAGGGGAUGUACGGCCACAUUGGGACUGAGACACGGCCCAGACUCCUACGGGAGGCAGCAGUGGGGAAUAUUGCACAAUGGAGGAAACUCUGAUGCAGCGACGCCGCGUGAGUGAAGAAGUAUUUCGGUAUGUAAAGCUCUAUCAGCAGGGAAGAAAAUGACGGUACCUGACUAAGAAGCACCGGCUAAAUACGU
rnacentral:rRNA from 1 species